rnacentral:rRNA from 1 species
AUUGAACGCUGGCGGCAGGCCUAACACAUGCAAGUCGAGCGAGCGGCGGACGGGUGAGUAAUGUCUGGGAAACUGCCCGAUGGAGGGGGAUAACUACUGGAAACGGUAGCUAAUACCGCAUACCAUCAGAUGUGCCCAGAUGGGAUUAGCUAGUAGGUGGGGUAACGGCUCACCCAGGCGACGAUCCCUAGCUGGUCUGAGAGGCUGACCAGCCACACGGGAACUGAGACACGGUCCAGACUCCGACGGUAGGCAGCAGUGGGGAAUAUUGCACAAUGGGCGCAAGCCUGAUGCAGCCAUGCCGCGUGUGUGAAGAAGGCCUUCGGGUUGUAAAGCACUUUCAGCGGGGAGGCGUUACCCGCAGAAGAAGCACCGGCUAACUCCGUGCCAGCCGCCGCGGUAAUAC